rnacentral:rRNA from 1 species
GCUACGGGUGGCAGCAGUGGGGAAUAUUGGACAAUGGGGGGAACCCUGAUCCAGCCAUGCCGCGUGUGUGAAGAAGGCCCUCGGGUUGUAAAGCACUUUCAGUGAGGAAGAACGCCUGGUGGUUAAUACCCAUCAGGAAAGACAUCACUCACAGAAGAAGCACCGGCUAACUCCGUGCCAGCAGCCGCGGUAAUACGGAGGGUGCGAGCGUUAAUCGGAAUUACUGGGCGUAAAGCGCGCGUAGGUGGCUUGAUAAGCCGGUUGUGAAAGCCCCGGGCUCAACCUGGGAACGGCAUCCGGAACUGUCAAGCUAGAGUGCAGGAGAGGAAGGUAGAAUUCCCGGUGUAGCGGUGAAAUGCGUAGAGAUCGGGAGGAAUACCAGUGGCGAAGGCGGCCUUCUGGACUGACACUGACACUGAGGUGCGAAAGCGUGGGUAGCAAACAGGAUUAGAUACCCUGGUAGUC